rnacentral:tRNA from 1 species
GGGGUCUUGGCACAGUGGUAGCGCGCAUGCUUCGCAUUACUGGCGUCUGCAUGAGGUCGUGAGUUCAAUCCUCACAGUCUCCA